UACGGAGGGUGCAAGCGUUAUCCGGAUUCACUGGGUUUAAAGGGUGCGUAGGCGGGUUGAUAAGUCCGUGGUGAAAUCUCCGAGCUUAACUCGGAAACUGCCGUGGAUACUAUCAAUCUUGAAUAUCGUGGAGGUAAGCGGAAUAUGUCAUGUAGCGGUGAAAUGCUUAGAGAUGACAUAGAACACCAAUUGCGUAGGCAGCUUACUACACGAUCAUUGACGCUGAGGCACGAAAGCGUGGGGAGCAAACAGG
rnacentral:rRNA from 1 species